rnacentral:rRNA from 1 species
AGAGUUUCCUUCUGGCUCAGGAUGAACGCUGGCGGCGCGCCUAACACAUGCAAGUCGAACGGUUAAGCCACCUUCGGGUGGGAAUAAAGUGGCGAACGGCUGAGUAACACGUGGGCAACCUGCCCCUCGCACCGGGACAGCCUCGGGAAACCGUGGAUGAUACCGGAUACUCCGCCUCCCCCGCAUGGGGAGGGCGGGAAAGCCCAGACGGCGAGGGAUGGGCCCGCGGCCUGUUAGCUAGUUGGCGGGGCAGCGGCCCACCAAGGCGAUGAUGGGUAGCCGGGUUGAGAGACCGACCGGCCAGAUUGGGACUGAGACACGGCCCAGACUCCUACGGGAGGCAGCAGUGGGGAAUCUUGCACAAUGGGCGGAAGCCUGAUGCAGCGACGCCGCGUGCGGGACGAAGGCCUUCGGGCUGUAAACCGCUUUCAGCAGGGACGAGGCGAAAGUGACGGUACCUGCAGAAGAAGCCCCGGCUAACUACGUGCCAGCAGCCGCGGUAAUACGUAGGGGGCAAGCGUUAUCCGGAUUCAUUGGGCGUAAAGCGCGCGUAGGCGGCCAGCCUGGUCGGGAGUCAAAUCCGGGGGCUCAACCCCCGUCCGCUCCCGAUACCGGCCGGCUUGAGUCUGGCAGGGGAAGGCGGAAUUCCCGGUGUAGCGGUGGAAUGCGCAGAUAUCGGGAAGAACACCGGUGGCGAAGGCGGCCUUCUGGGCCACGACUGACGCUGAGGCGCGAAAGCUAGGGGAGCGAACAGGAUUAGAUACCCUGGUAGUCCUAGCCGUAAACGAU